ACUCCUACGGGAGGCAGCAGUGAGGAAUAUUGGUCAAUGGGCGCGAGCCUGAACCAGCCACGUCGCGUGAAGGAUGACGGCCUUAUGGGUUGUAAACUUCUUUUACAGGGGAAUAAAGUGAGUCACGUGUGAUUUUUUGCAUGUACCCUGUGAAUAAGCAUCGGCUAACUCCGUGCCAGCAGCCGCGGUAAUACGGAGGAUGCGAGCGUUAUCCGGAUUUAUUGGGUUUAAAGGGUGCGUAGGCGGGAUAUUAAGUCAGCGGUGAAAGUUUUCGGCUCAACCUUAAAAUUGCCGUUGAAACUGUUAUUCUUGAGUGCAGUAGAGGUAGGCGGAAUUCGUUGUGUAGCGGUGAAAUGCGUAGAUAUAACGAGGAACUCCGAUUGCGUAGGCAGCUUACUAUAUUGCUACUGACGCUGAGGCACGAAAGUGUGGGUAUCAAACAGGAUUAGAUACCCUGGUAGUC
rnacentral:rRNA from 1 species